AGAGUUUGAUCCUGGCUCAGAUUGAACGCUGGCGGCAUGCUUUACACAUGCAAGUCGAACGGUAACAGGCCGCAAGGUGCUGACGAGUGGCGAACGGGUGAGUAAUGCAUCGGAACGUGCCCAGUCGUGGGGGAUAACGCAGCGAAAGCUGUGCUAAUACCGCAUACGAUCUAUGGAUGAAAGCGGGGGACCGUAAGGCCUCGCGCGAUUGGAGCGGCCGAUGUCAGAUUAGGUAGUUGGUGGGGUAAAGGCCCACCAAGCCAACGAUCUGUAGCUGGUCUGAGAGGACGACCAGCCACACUGGGACUGAGACACGGCCCAGACUCCUACGGGAGGCAGCAGUGGGGAAUUUUGGACAAUGGGCGCAAGCCUGAUCCAGCAAUGCC
rnacentral:rRNA from 1 species